CGCGCUUUUGACGCGUCAGUAUGCAAUCAGACGUCCGAUCAGGCGUUUAUGAAUACUUUGUUUGAGUGGUUUGGAGCGGACGCGAGCAAAACAAUGGAUUACAUAUUAAUGUAUGGAGUCAUGUCGAGAAAACAGUUCUGCAUUGUUAUGUGGAUCUCGAGUGUUUACGCUGCACUAAACUUUGACGAGCAAUACUCCGAUCUGCAAACAAAGAGCUGAGGAAGAGGAUGAUGGCGGUCCCGCAUUCAGAGGAGAAAGAUCAGUAAACAAGAGAAGCAUUAUCAUCGCUGAAGAAAUGGCAGAUUUUAAUCUCCAGACACCGAGCAGGUCAAGCCCUGAAGAAAUAACACCAUAGACAUCAUCUUCUGACUGAACUAGAUGUUGGAGUCAAUGAGAAAGCUAGUGGAAUGUAAACCUACCUGAGUAAACGCCACUACUUUAAUGAAAAUUUCUAAGUUUACUGAGCGACGUAAACUGCUGUCAUCCACGUCACAUCAUUGCUCUAACCGACGUUACCUGAAGAAUCCUUUCAGCGUAGCAGAUAUUCACAAGCGUCUGGAGCCAACAUAAAAUGCUGAACUAGAUACUUCCUGGAGACUGAGCUUCAACACUUAAGGUAACUUCAGUUGAGUUGAAAUGCUAGUUGCGUGAUGUUUCCUCAGAUAACUGCACACAGACCUGACUUUCUCUUUUCUACAUCCACUGUUGGUUAUACACUUGUGUGGUUUUGGUUUUCUAGGUUUGUACAAAGUUACACCAUAUCACUGAAAACGGCACGCAUCAACAAGAUUUCAGAGACUCUGCGUGAUAUUUUAAAUGUUUAUGAUCUUCAGGGUGUGCAUGAUGUCACCAUGAAACGCACCGUAGCCCUCCAGGACCUACAAUUCUUCAAGACUUGAAACGAGGCAUUGGAGAACCAGACAUCACUGAUUCUGUCAUUGUGGUCAACGAAACGAAAGCACAAGUCCUUCAAGCACUGCAGUUGUGAUAGAAGAUGAUCUUCAGUUUUAUAAUAAAAGACUAAUCUUCAAAAAAAUCUUCAAUUGUACAGCUGGAGGUUUAUUUUAUUUUAUUUUUUAGGUUUUGUUGUUGUUUUGUCUUUUGAGUUAGUUUUUUUUUUAUGUAAUGAAGUCCUGCAGAGGUGCCUGAUCCUGUUCCUGGAGAUCUUCCUGCCUGCAGAGUUCAGCUUCAGCUCAUUAUUUUCCUAAGUACAACAGCAAAACUUUUUCCAUUUACCAAUGUAUUUAAAACAUUAAGUUUGUCUAUACUUAUUCAAUUUUACACUCUGUGUAUAAGUAAAUACUAGUGUAUAUUUUUUUCAAA